rnacentral:misc_RNA from 1 species
GAUGAAGAACGCAGCGAAAUGCGAUAAGUAAUGUGAAUUGCAGAAUUCAGUGAAUCAUCGAAUCUUUGAACGCACAUUGCGCCCGCUAGUAUUCUGGCGGGCAUGCCUGUCCGAGCGUCAUUUCAACCCUCAAGCCCCCGGGCUUGGUGUUGGGGAUCGGCGAGCCUCCGCGCCCGCCGUCCCCUAAAUCCAGUGGCGGUCUCGCUGUAGCUUCCUCUGCGUAGUAGCACACCUCGCACUGGGAAACAGCGCGGCCACGCCGUUAAACCCCCAACUUCUGAACGUUUGACCUCGGAUCAGGUAGGAAUACCCGCUGAACUUAAGCAUAUCAAUAAGCGGAGGA